rnacentral:lncRNA from 1 species
AAAUCGCCGGCUGGACAUCCAGAGCACCUAGCCUGUUUUUUUCUGCAUCUUGAAUUGAGCAUUAACAGGACUCUUGAAGAGUACAUCCUGCAGAGAGUAGCUUAAGCUAGAAAGGACUGCCUGUGACACCUGCCUGCUAUCUAUAAAACACUCAUUCCUCUUUCAAGAUAGCUGCCGCUCUUUCUGAAGGGUAAACACAAAGGGUGUGGGUCAUCUGAUUUGAUCAUCGAUUUAUCAGGAAAAUGACAGUUCUCCUACAAUUGCCAAUGGAAGGUAAGUAGGCUCACUUAUAUCUCAUUACCCAAAAUAGUGAAAGAAUCUGAGCAUUUAAACUGUGAGCUUCCAUACCCUGAAUAAAGUCAGUUUUCUGUAGGAAGCAAGAGGAGGAAAAGGAAUAUUACCUAAAGGACUGGCAGGGCUUGUCAUCCAGACCAGAGGCUUUUUCAGUACCUAAUGAGAAGUGCUGAGCCAACAGCAGCACAUGCUUCAAGUGCUAGAAAAGAAUAACAUGCUGGUUUUCUUAUUACACACAUAAAGCUUCACUCCACCUCGCAAACAGCCAGAUCAAUUCCUAGGUCUUUUGCAAGAGGCAAACAUGUAUCAUUUUGUACUUUAAUUUUAUUUCCCAAAUUGUUUAUGACAAUAGUUAUUUUCCUGUGAAAAAGAGUGGUUGGAGGGGAGGACAUCUUUUUGUUUUUGUUUUACCAGAAUCGUAGCCUCUCACGGUGGCAUUAUAUUUUUUUAAACUUUUUUUUUUUAUUUUUAUUUAUUUAUGAUAGUCACAGAGAGAGAGAGAGAGGCAGAGUGUACACAGGCAGAGGGAGAAGCAGGCUCCAUGCACCGGGAGACGUGGGAUUCGAUCCCCGGUCUUCAGGAUCGCGCCCUGGGCCAAAGGCAGGCGCCAAACCGCUGCGCCACCCAGGGAUCCCUUUUUUUUUUUUUUUUAAUUUUUAUUUAUUUAUCAUGGCAAGCAAAUAAGAGCUUUUCUUCUUUCAUCUUUCUCUUUUGCCUGGAGAUAGCUGUUAAUAAAAACUGUAGGAGGUGGAAAGAAGACCUAAGGCUUGAACCUAUUCUCUAUCAUUGGGAUCCCAUUGAACAGUCAAAGAUGCAGAUGUUGGCAUCAGAGACGCCUCUGCAGAACAAACAAGACUUCUGCGAUGCAAUGUGUUAGUUGGUCCUUGGAGAACAGCAAAGUCUCCUGAGAAGACAUGGCAUCUAAACAGAAGCUCCAGGGCAGGAAGCAGCAAGCCUUGAUGGUGGGACAGGGAAGGUGUUUCAUAAUCUUGCUGUCGAUUCUUUCAAUCAGUUGAAAGAUUUAUAUGUAAACAUGAUUGGUUUGUGGAACUUCAAGUAUACUAUGAGAGCUGGAAUUUUCAGAAUAAGGGAGAAAACAGAAAUGAGGGUUAGAAAGACAUAGAUCAUUUGUGCUCAGUUCUCCAUAAAUUAAGUGAAUUACACAUAAUGUCUUGUGAAAAUGCAACAGGAUUAUUAUGACUAGAAAAGCUGGCUCUAAAGGUAAUAAUGAAAAAUACUAAGCAAGAAACCAGAACAUUUUUGAAAAGUGAGUAAUAAGGAAUUAUUUAUUAUAAUUGAUUACAAAUCUAUCAUCUAAUAAAACAUAAUAUUGUUCUAGUGCAUGGGUAGCUUGAUAAAAG